rnacentral:rRNA from 1 species
GUGGAGGUCCGAACCGGUUGACGUUGAAAAGUCUUCGGAUGACCUGUGGGUAGGGGUGAAAGGCCAAUCAAACUCGGAAAUAGCUCGUACUCCCCGAAAUGCAUUUAGGUGCAGCGCAUAUUAUAAGUUAUAUAGAGGUAGAGCUACUGAUUGGAUGCGGGGGCUUCACCGCCUACCAAUUCCUGACAAACUCCGAAUGCUAUAUAAUGUUUUUAUGCAGUGAGGGCUUGGGUGCUAAGNNNNNNNNNNNNNNAGGGAAAGAACCCAGACCAUCAGCUAAGGUCCCCAAAUAUAUGUUAAGUUGAAAGAACGAGGUUUGUCUGCCCAGACAGCUAGGAUGUUGGCUUGGAAGCAGCCAUUCAUUUAAAGAGUGCGUAACAGCUCACUAGUCGAGCGGACGAGCAUGGAUAAUAAUCGGGCAUAAACAUAUUACCGAAGCUAUGGAUUUACAAGCAAUUGUAAGUGGUAGGGGAGCAUUCUAACAGGGUUGAAGGUGUGUCGUAAGGCAUGCUGGACUGGUUAGAAAAGAAAAUGUAGGCAUAAGUAACGAUAAUGCGGGCGAGAAACCCGCACACCGAAAGACUAAGGUUUCCACAGCUAUGCUAAUCAGCUGUGGGUUAGUCGGGACCUAAGGCGAACCCGAAAGGGACAGUCGAUGGCCAACGGGUUAAUAUUCCCGUACUACUGAUUACUGUGAUGGGGUGACGGAGUGAUGAAAGCGCCGCGAACUGACGGAAUAGUUCGUUGAAGUACCUACCUAUAAGAACUGCAGGCAAAUCCACAGAUCUUGGGGAAAUACGAUAGUACUCGGAGUCUUCGGACAAAGAGAUAGUGCGCCUAAGGGCUUCCAAGAAAAACCUCUAAACUUCAGGUAAUUAGUACCCGUACCGUAAACCGACACAGGUAGUCGAGGAGAGAAUCCUAAGGUGCUCGAGAGAUUCAUGGCUAAGGAAUUAGGCAAAAUAGACCCGUAACUUCGGGAGAAGGGUCGCCCCGAGUAAUCGGGGCCGCAGUGAAGAGGUCCAGGCGACUGUUUAUCAAAAACACAGGGCUCUGCAAAAUCGUAAGAUGAAGUAUAGGGCCUGACGCCUGCCCGGUGCUGGAAGGUUAAGAGGAGAUGUUAUCUUCGGAGAAGCAUUGAAUUGAAGCCCCGGUAAACGGCGGCCGUAACAAUAACGGUCCUAAGGUAGCGAAAUUCCUUGUCGGGUAAGUUCCGACC